AGCUCACAUCUAUAACGACUCUAAGUUCUCCACUGUUUUUAUGUAAUUCCAUGUAGUCUCCUUUUAAUAACAAAUCUUAUAUUAAUAAUAAUGUAUUUUGAGCGCUUCCCUUACAAGGAAGAAGUCACAGGUUCAAAUCCUGUAGCGCCCA
rnacentral:tRNA from 2 species